GUAAUCAAUUCAUAAUGCAAGUAUAAUCAUGGUAUUGAAUAGCCCCCUAGCCAAGAGGGGCUUAGUUCCUCAUGUUCGCAAAACAAAGAUACAUAAACUUAAACAUUGAAAACAAAAGAAAGAUUACACCUAGAAACGCUCCAACAAUCAAACGUCUUGAAUGGCAAGCACGUCCAAGGGUCUCCUUCUUUCUUCUUUGCUGCGACACAAGGGUGUUUGGUGAUGAUUUGUGGUGAAUUGUGGUGGUGGAUGGAUGUAGGUAGGUUAUGGUGAAGGAUGGAAUGCUUAGAAUGGUCAGCAAGGGCCUUUUUUUAUAGGGGAAGGAAGGGCUACGAAUUUGAAGUGGUUUUAGGGAAGGAUUUAUGUAGGAAAAGGAAUGUGAUUUUGGUUCAGAAAAUAUGCAAGAAAGGUGCAGGAAUUAAAGAGAAAAGGAAAGGGAAAUUCGGUAGAAAUUGUAGGACAGAUUUAGGAAUGUGUUUUGAGGCACAAAAUAGGUAAGAAUCCUAUCCCCUUGUAUGGCAAGGCUUUAGAACAAAGGGGAAUGUAAUUUUGGUCAGAAAAUAGGUAAGAAAGAGGGGAAAGGUGUGGUUGGUUGCUUGAAUAAAAAGGAAUGUGGUUUUAAGAUCAGAAAAUAGGAAAGAAAGGAUGCUUUUGUGCGGCAAGGACUUUAGGGAAGGUUUAGGGCUUCUAGAACAACCAAUUAAGUGCCCUAAUAUGUUUUGGAAUCCCUUUGUGGCUGGAACAUAGGUGAGGAAAGAUUAGGAAACUUCCAAGCCACAAAUAGAAACUAUCAAGAAUGGAAACCUCCAAGAAUAGAAUCUUCCAACUUUAGAAACUUUGGUUUCCAAUUUGAAUACUUCGUUCUUUAUUUGUCUUGAAUCCAAUUCUUCACAUCAUCAUUCAAUCCUAUGCUCAUUUGAUCUUCAAUUUCGUCCAUCUUCUUACCUCCAAGCAUAUGCAAUCCAUUUGAUGCCCAAAACUGCUCCAAAAGUCUCCAAAAUGCACAUGUAUGCAUACUUUGUCCUUAAAACCUGAAAUUGCAUGAAAAUAGCUUAAAAUACUAAAAUUUCUAAGUACUAGUAACAUAAAUGCAAGGAAACAAGCUAAUUAAGUCGCAUAAAUAUGCUCCUAUCAAAUUCCCCCACACUUAGCUUUUGCUAGUCCUCGAGCAAAACAAAACAAAACAAAACACAAUCUAGACCUUCCAACAAUUGUCUUAGGGAUUUCCAAUGCAUAUGACAUGCUAAAAAUCAUUACUUACACAGAUUUUAGUCAUCCUUACCCUCGAGCACAUACUUAAUCGUAGUCACCAUUCACUAGUUCACAUAUAAUCCAUUAAAACAACAUUUUUUAAUGUAGUAACAUGCCUUAGAGAAUUCCCUCAAUUCCUUACUAGAUAUGCACUCAAUUUUCACUCAGAUUUUCUGACUACACACCCUACACUAGGUAUAUGUGAGAAGAUUGAUGUAAACAUGAAAACUAGUACUCACAUAUGUUAUAGCAAAGAAAGCACUUUUCUGGAAUUAUUAAUGCAUGUAUAUAUAUGAUCUCAUGAACGGAAUGCUACUACUUAGAAGCGAGAACCAGUGAUAUCAUAUGCUCAUACCAAUUCCAAUCUCCACAUAUUGAAGUGCACAACACUCAAGAUUGAAGUCUAAGGGUUGUAACGGGGCUAAGGGUAUUGGUUAACAAAGGAAGGUAAGGAUAAACAAAGGUUCUUAAAGAAAUAGUAAGCAAAGUAAUGAAAUUGACACUUAGAAUUUACUUUUGAAUGCAAAAAUAAACUUUUAAACAUAAUGGAAGAUUCAUGCAACACUUAGGGUCAAAUUCAAACUUUUGGACCCUUUUUUUUCAACAACCAACACAUGUGAGUUCAUUCUCACUUAUUUUUCAACUCUUUUUCAUACUUUUCACACACUUUUCUUCUUCUUUUUCUUUUUCCACGAAUUUUUUUUUAUCUGCCCUUUUCUUUCUUUUGACACACAAAACACACUUUGAAAACCCUUCCCCCACACUUGUUUUUCUGCAAAAAUCAAAAGGAAUUCCCUCUAAGUCAUGCUUCACUAUUCUUUAAGAACAAGGGUGUGGACAGUCCUAAUCUAGGCUAGGUAGGGAUAAUGUGGUUAACAAAGAAAAUAGGCUAACGAAGGCUCAAAGGGGUUAAACCUACAAAACAUAUGACAAAAGGGAUAGCUUUUUGGCUUUGGUGGUAACUAAACAACUUCAUCUUGAAUAUGUGUUAUGCACUCAAUAUCAUGCUUUGAAUGGAACGGGCAUGAGUUCUAGUAUUUGGAUCUAUAAUGAUGAAACGCAUUCUAAGUAGCAACCAAGCAAAGAAUGAUGAGAUCAUGCAACGACUUUAGAAAAUAAGAAUGCACAGAUUAAUAACUCUCCAAAUAAUGUUUAGGCUCAAGUCUCACAGGGUUGUAGCGUUAAUUUGAGUUCCUUCCUUCAAGCAUGUUACAAAAACUAAUUUUUUUUUCUUUUGUGAUUACAUGUGAAUUCGUUAACUAUAACUACAACCAAGCAUAAACCAAAGAGCAUAUCAAACUUCCAUCCAUGUUUAUAACUUUCUUUAACAGUCAUGCACUUAAAAACCAAAUCCUCAUCAUUGUGUUGGAAGGUACCCUAAGACACAAACAAACACACAAAAACAACUCUUUUUGGCUUUUUCAAAACAAUUUUUCAAAUUUUUAUCAAAUUUUCGGAUUUUUACUUCAACACACACCAAAACAGCUCAAAAUGCACUAAAAACAGUGAGAAACAACUUAGAAAUAAUGGGUGAUAAAAUCCCACAAAUUUGCAUCAAAAACACUUAGUUACCCCCCACACUUAAAUCAAACAUUGUCCUCAAUAUUUCAAGCAUAAAAUCACACCAAACAAAAUUAAACACACAAACAGCAACUUAAUCAACUAAACUGGGUAGAUUAGAAAGAAUCAACAAAGAGAAAGGUUUUAGGAAUUCAAAUCUGGAAUUGGAGUGAUUCCUAGGGCUUCCUUUGUUGAAUGCAUGGGUUGCCUCCCAAGAAGCGCUUGCUUUAACGUCUUGCAGUCGGACGAUACUUCUCUUUAAGCUCCCCUAGGUCCCAUAGCAUGGAAUUGAUCCUUGAACGGAAGGUGAUACUUGAAGUGAUCCGACAAUGGUUUAAAUUCGAGAGUGGGUGCCUGAAUUAUUAACAACCUUUAAGUAUAAAACGUAAUGGAAAUUGGAGAACGUGACUUACUUGCUUUGUCCGAUAAGAACUCAAUGACAAACACCACUUCUUUGAAAGUUUCAGGGACUUUGAAUUUGGCCAGAUUUACUACGAUGGUUGUGAUUUGUCCCGUGUCAUUAAACUCAACUUCUUUGGACUUUGUUGUUUUAACUACGUCCUCUUUGAUGAAUUCUUGAUAUUCUCUAGCCACUACUUUCUCUUGAAUCAUUCUUCUUGGUGAACAAGGUUCUUUGAAUACUUCAACAGAAUCUGGAACUUGAUUUGGUGUGCCAAGAAUUGCGAUAUCACUUUGCACCUUGGAAAGAGCUUCCACAAUGUCUUUUUCACUCUCUUCUUGCUUGGGAAUCAAAAACCUGCGAGGAAAAGGGACAUUGGGUGGAAUAGGGUUAGAAUUAACGAAAAUUAGACCCAACUUACCUGUAUUGGACAGUGGUGGGGCAUUGGGAGGCUGCGGCAAGGGUGGUUCUUCCCUUGUCGUGGCCUUGUCAUCCUUUUCUUCUUCGAACAACAGCUAUUCUUCCAUGUUUUGGAUUGGUUUGGACGUUUUUGGGCUUGUUCCAACCUCCAUGCCACUUUCCAAAGUGAUAGCAUCAUGGAUUUCAAAAUUUUCCUUCAAAUUUUCUAUAGUUGAGUUGGAGAGUUCACUUUGCUCUUGAAUUUGUGCCAUGAACUCCAUAAUCUGCCCAAUUUGCUCCUCCAAUUUGCCCAUCUUCGUGGCUUGAUUUUGCAUCUCUUUGUUUUGAUUUUCUACUUCCUAAUUCAAAGAGGUGAGUAACUUAUUCAACAUAUCAUUAUCCAGAGACGUACCUGAAUUGAAUUCAGCAGAUUGUUGUGGGGGCUGUGAUGGUGCAUAUGGCCAUUGAUAGAACUCUUCUUGCUGCCAAUACCCACCAUGUUGGAAUUGUUGAGGUUCUCCCUUCAUGUAAUCUGAAUAAUCUCUCCAAUCCGAAUUGUAAGCGUUGGAAAACAUGUUGUCCCAUGAUUGGCUAUGGCAUUGAUAACCCCAAGCAUCUUCAUUUGCAGCGAAUUGAGAACAUUGAUGAGUUGGAUAUCCUUGCCCAUAGGACACACCACAUGUAGGGACACUUUGCAUUGUGGUCCUUCCGGCAAUCUGUGACAAUUGAGAAGUAAGAUUCGCCAAUUGAGCUUGAAUGUUAGCAAAAUCCAUGUCUUACUUCUCUAGUACCUGAAAUCAAAGAAACAAAACUAAAUCAAAUAUCAAAAGUAAAUAAAACAAAGCAAAACAAAAUCAGUAACUAAACAAAAGACACAAAAAAAAAACAAAAAAAACAACGAGGGAUUAGCAAAGUUGCUAAUCCCCGGCAACGGCGCCAAAAUUUGAUGCGUAAAUUAACUUAACACACAAAUUAAACCCUCUUGUUGACAAUUGUAGUAUAUGUAUAAGUAGGGAUCAUUUUUAAAGCGGGGAUUAGGAGGGAUUGCUAAACACUCUAAACUGACUCAAAUAGAUAAAACUAAGCUUUAAAACACUUAACUAGACUCAAAAGACUCAAAACAAACUAAAAAAAAACUCAAAACAAGCUAAAAACACUCAAAACUGCCUAAAAACACAAACUGGGCAGUUUUGAGCUCUAAACACAAUUUGGACGAAAUUUGGGUUUCUAAAGGCUCAAAACACUUAAAAACACAAUCUAAGACAAGUUCUAACUAAUAUGACUUAACAAAGUAAAAGGGGUUUGGUUUUGGACGAAAAUAAGUAAAUUAAAACAAGAACAAUUUAAACAGAUUCUUAAGCAAAUUUAGGUGAAUUGAUGGGUGAUGGGUUAACUAGGGAGUUCUUCUCCACACAUGACACACUUGCAUUCAAAUUGAUUUCCAAUUGCUUCUCUCAAUAAGUCAUGAAACUCAAUACUCCAGGUUAACUGUGACAUCACUUUUUUAACCUUCAAGUUCUCCUUAAGUUAAUGAAUUGGAUGGGGAAGCACAUACAACAACUCAAAGCAUUCUCUAAAAGUCCCCUACGUGAAAAGCACAAUAAAGGUACAAUAAAAGAUUAUUAAGUUUCAUGAAAACUAUAAGCAUUGACGAGGCAAUUGUUACUAUGAAAAGCAUGAAACUUUUGCCAAGAAUUCACUUAACACAAUCGUUUAUAAGCAACCUCCACUACUUGCAAAUAUAAGUUUGUAACUAUUAGGUGAAACUCCCUUAUAUUUUAGCUUCAAAUCCUUGCAUGAAAACUAAGUGUGCACUCUUAAUAAACAUACAAGAAUAAGUUAUCAAUCAAACGGUUAAGCAAAUUGUAUUCACAACUUAUGAAAUAACAACUGAAGGUAAUCAAUUCAUAAUGCAAGUAUAAUCAUGGUAUUGAAUAGCCCCCUAGCCAAGAGGGGCUUAGUUCCUCAUGUUCGCAAAACAAAGAUACAUAAACUUAAACAUUGAAAACAAAAGAAAGAUUACACCUAGAAACGCUCCAACAAUCCAACGUCUUGAAUGACAAGCACAUCCAAGGGUCUCCUUCUAUCUUCUUUGCUGCGACACAAGGGUGUUUGGUGAUGAUUUGUGGUGAAUUGUGGUGGUGGAUGGAUGUAGGUAGGUUAUGGUGAAAGAUGGAAUGCUUAGAAUGGUCAGCAAGGGCCUUUAUUUAUAGGGGAAGGAAGGGCUACGAAUUUGAAGUGGUUUUAGGGAAGGAUUUAUGUAGGAAAAUGAAUGUGAUUUUGGGUCAGAAAAUAGGCAAGAAAGGUGUAGGAAUUAAAGAGAAAAGGAAAGGGAAAUUCGGCAGAAAUUGUAGGACAGAUUUAGGAAUGUGUUUUGAGGCACAAAAUAGGUAAGAAUCCUAUCCCCUUGUAUGGCAAGGCUUUAGAACAAAGGGGAAUGUAAUUUUGGGUCAGAAAAUAGGUAAGAAAGAGGGGAAAGGUGCGGCUGGUUGCUUGAAUAAAAGGGAAUGUGGUUUUAAGAUCAGAAAAUAGGAAAGAAAGGAUGCUUUUGUGCGGCAAGGACUUUAG
rnacentral:lncRNA from 1 species